rnacentral:rRNA from 1 species
CACGCCCUAAACGAUGUCAACUGGUUGUUGGGAGGGUUUCUUCUCAGUAACGUAGCUAACGCGUGAAGUUGACCGCCUGGGGAGUNACGCGAAAAACCUUACCUACCCUUGACAUGUCUGGAAUCCUGAAGAGAUUUGGGAGUGCUCGAAAGAGAGCCAGAACACAGGUGC